rnacentral:rRNA from 1 species
AACGAACGCUGGCGGCAUGCCUAACACAUGCAAGUCGAACGAAGGCUUCGGCCUUAGUGGCGCACGGGUGCGUAACGCGGGGGAAUCUGCCCUUUGGCUCGGAAUAACAGCUGGAAACGGCUGCUAAUACCGGAUGAUGACGAAAGUCAAAAGAUUUAUCGCCAGAGGAUGAGCCCGCGUUGGAUUAGGUGGUUGGGAGGGUAAAGGCCUACCAAGCCGACGUUCCAUAGCUGGUCUGAGAGGAUGAUCAGCCACACUGGGACUGGGACGCGGCCCGGACUACUGGGCAAGGGGGCAGAGCGUGAUACUGGACAACCGGCGCGAGCCUGAAGCACCUAGGCCGGGUAAGUGAUUAAGUCCGUAGAGAAAUAAAGCUCUUUUACCCGGGGAGGUAAUGACGGUACCGAGAGAAUAAGCCCCGGCUAACUCCGUG